rnacentral:snRNA from 12 species
UUACAUACCUGGCAGGGGAGAUACCAUUCCUCUCAGCCUUGAAUGACUUGAUGUAGUUAGGGAAUGAUGGCCUUUCCCUUGCACUGCAGGCAGGCUGACCCCUGUGAGAGUCUGCAAGUGCAUUCAAAUCAGCUAUGCAAAUUAUGGUGAUGGGGAAUUGCUCUCAGGCUUUCCCUC